rnacentral:rRNA from 1 species
GACAGAGGGUGCAAACGUUGUUCGGAUUUACUGGGCGUAAAGCGCGUGUAGGCGGCUUGGCAAGUCGGAUGUGAAAGCCCACGGCUCAACCGUGGAAGCGCAUCCGAAACUGCUUCGCUCGAGUCUCGGAGAGGAAGGUGGAAUGCUUGGUGUAGAGGUGAAAUUCGUAGAUAUCUGGAGGAACACCGGUGGCGAAGGCGGCAUCCUGGACCAACACUGACACUGAGGAGCGAAAGCCAGGGGAGCAAACGGG